rnacentral:tRNA from 1 species
GAGUAUGAUUAUAUUAGCUUUGCAAAAGCUAGGUAGGAUUUUGAUUUGUCCCAUACUUU